UGGGGAAUAUUGGACAAUGGGCGAAAGCCUGAUCCAGCAAUGCCGCGUGAGUGAAGAAGGCCUUAGGGUUGUAAAACUCUUUCACCCGUGACGAUGAUGACGGUAGCGGGAGAAGAAGCCCCGGCUAACUCCGUGCCAGCAGCCGCGGUAAUACGGAGGGGGCUAGCGUUGUUCGGAAUUACUGGGCGUAAAGCGCAUGUAGGCGGCGCAUCAAGUUGGGGGUGAAAGGCCUGGGCUUAACCCAGAACGGCCAAGUGAUACUGUCGCGCUAGAGUGCAGAAGGGGCAAUCGGAAUUCUUGGUGUAGCGGUGAAAUGCGUAGAUAUCAAGAGGAACACCUGAGGUGAAGACGGGUUGCUGGGCUGACACUGACGCUGAGGCGCGAAAGCCAGGGGAGCAAACGGGAUUAGAUACCCACGUAGUCCC
rnacentral:rRNA from 1 species